rnacentral:rRNA from 1 species
CCUACGGGAGACAGCAGUGAGGAAUAUUGGUCAAUGGGCGCGAGCCUGAACCAGCCAAGUAGCGUGAAGGAUGACUGCCCUACGGGUUGUAAACUUCUUUUAUAAAGGAAUAAAGUGAGGCACGUGUGCCUUUUUGUAUGUACUUUAUGAAUAAGGAUCGGCUAACUCCGUGCCAGCAGCCGCGGUAAUACGGAGGAUCCGAGCGUUAUCCGGAUUUAUUGGGUUUAAAGGGAUCGUAGAUGGGUUGUUAAGUCAGUUGUGAAAGUUUGCGGCUCAACCGUAAAAGUGCAAUUGAUACUGGCAGCGUGGAGUAGUGUAGAGGUAGGUGGAAGUCGUGGGGUGGCGGUGAAAGGCUUAG